GAUGAACGCUGGCGGCGUGCCUAACACAUGCAAGUCGAGCGAUCUUCUUCGGAAGAGAGCGGCGGACGGGUGAGUAACGCGUGGGUAACCUGCCCUGUACACACGGAUAACAUACCGAAAGGUAUGCUAAUACGGGAUAACAUAUUUUUAUCGCAUGGUAAAAAUAUCAAAGCUCCGGCGGUACAGGAUGGACCCGCGUCUGAUUAGCUAGUUGGUGAGGUAAUGGCUCACCAAGGCGACGAUCAGUAGCCGACCUGAGAGGGUGAUCGGCCACACUGGAACUGAGACACGGUCCAAACUCCUACGGGAGGCAGCAGUGGGGAAUAUUGCACAAUGGGCGAAAGCCUGAUGCAGCAACGCCGCGUGAGCGAUGAAGGCCUUCGGGUCGUAAAGCUCUGUCCUCAAGGAAGAUAAUGACGGUACUUGAGGAGGAAGCCCCGGCUAACUACGUGCCAGCAGCCGCCGUAAAAC
rnacentral:rRNA from 1 species